CAAGUAAAUUGGUCAAUCGCAUCGCAAUGAUGAGGAAAGUCUGUGCUCCAUAGAGCAGGAUGCCGGCUAACGGCCGGUGGGGGCGACCCUAAGGAAAGUGCAACAGAAAUAUACCGCCAUUACGGUAAGGGUGGAAAGGCGAGGUAAGAGCUCACCGGAUUAUUAGUAAUAAUAAUGCCAUGUAAACCCCAUUCGGAGCAAGACCAAAAUAGGAAUAACAGAUGUUGCUCGCAUCUGCCGGUAGGUAGGUCGCUAAAGUUUAUCGGUGACGAUAAAAUAUAGAUAGAUGAUUGAUUAAACAGAACACAGCUUAUAGAUUUACUUGUCAA
rnacentral:RNase_P_RNA from 1 species